AAUCCUAAAAGAUCAUCCUAAAAUGCAAUGUAAAUUAAAAACAUCAAGCAUACAAUCUUUAAUCAUUGAGUGUCUUAUGUUGAAAUUCUUUGAACCAAGCAAUUUUUGAAGACCUUCAAUGAUUAGAUAUCUUAUGAAAAUAUCAAAAAUUAAUUUAUAAAAUUUGCACACAAAUAAGUAUUUAUACAAUCAAACUUGUUUUAAAUUUGAUUUCUCAAACAUAACAUGAGG
rnacentral:lncRNA from 1 species